CAAAUGAGUUUUAAAUGCCUACUUGAAUGUCAAAUUGGGACGAGAAUAAGUUUUUAAUUAAAUAAUUUUAAUUAAUUGAAAAUUUUAAAUUAAUUACACCUUGAACUAGAAAAGAAAACCAUUUGUCUCCUUUUUCUUUUAGUUUUCUUUUCCAUUUUGAUUGAAAAAAUUAUUUUCAUCCUAGUUGGACAUCCAAGUUAGCAUUUAUAACUCAUUU
rnacentral:pre_miRNA from 1 species